AGAGUUUGAUCCUGGCUCAGGAUGAACGCUGGCGGCGUGCUUAACACAUGCAAGUCGAACGAACCUUAGGGUUAGUGGCGGACGGGUGAGUAACGCGUGAGAAUCUGCCCUCAGGAGGGGGAUAACGGCUGGAAACGGCCGCUAAUACCCCAUAUGCCGAGAGGUGAAAUGAAUUUCGCCUGAGGAUGAGCUCGCGUCUGAUUAGCUAGUUGGUGGGGUAAGAGCCUACCAAGGCAUCGAUCAGUAGCUGGUCUGAGAGGAUGAUCAGCCACACUGGGACUGAGACACGGCCCAGACUCCUACGGGAGGCAGCAGUGGGGAAUUUUCCGCAAUGGGCGAAAGCCUGACGGAGCAACGCCGCGUGAGGGAUGAAGGCCUCUGGGCUGUAAACCUCUUUUAUCAAGGAAGAAGAUCUGACGGUACUUGAUGAAUAAGCCACGGCUAAUUCCGUGCCAGCAGCCGCGGUAAUACGGGAGUGGCAAGCGUUAUCCGGAAUUAUUGGGCGUAAAGCGUCCGCAGGCGGCCUGAUAAGUCUGUUGUCAAAGCGUGGAGCUCAACUCCAUUUCGGCAAUGGAAACUGUGAGGCUUGAGUGUGGUAGGGGCAGAGGGAAUUCCCGGUGUAGCGGUGAAAUGCGUAGAUAUCGGGAAGAACACCAGUGGCGAAGGCGCUCUGCUGGGCCAUAACUGACGCUCAUGGACGAAAGCCAGGGGAGCGAAAGGGAUUAGAUACCCCUGUAGUCCUGGCCGUAAACGAUGAACACUAGGUGUCGGGGGAAUCGACCCCCUCGGUGUCGUAGCCAACGCGUUAAGUGUUCCGCCUGGGGAGUACGCACGCAAGUGUGAAACUCAAAGGAAUUGACGGGGGCCCGCACAAGCGGUGGAGUAUGUGGUUUAAUUCGAUGCAACGCGAAGAACCUUACCAGGGUUUGACAUCCUGCGAAUCCCUUGGAAACUUGGGAGUGCCUUCGGGAGCGCAGAGACAGGUGGUGCAUGGCUGUCGUCAGCUCGUGUCGUGAGAUGUUGGGUUAAGUCCCGCAACGAGCGCAACCCACGUCUUUAGUUGCCAGCAUUGAGUUGGGCACUCUAGAGAGACCGCCGGUGAUAAACCGGAGGAAGGUGUGGAUGACGUCAAGUCAUCAUGCCCCUUACAUCCUGGGCUACACACGUACUACAAUGCUACGGACAAAGGGCAGCAAACUCGCGAGAGCUAGCAAAUCCCAUAAACCGUGGCUCAGUUCAGAUCGUAGGCUGCAACUCGCCUACGUGAAGGAGGAAUCGCUAGUAAUCGCAGGUCAGCAUACUGCGGUGAAUACGUUCCCGGGCCUUGUACACACCGCCCGUCACACCAUGGAAGUUGGCCACGCCCGAAGCCGUUACU
rnacentral:rRNA from 1 species